rnacentral:tRNA from 1 species
GGUUUGUAGCUCAGGGAUAGAGCGCUCGCCUAGCACAUGUGAGGCCCUGAGUUCGAUCCUCAACGCCA